rnacentral:misc_RNA from 1 species
AAGAGUUGCGAGACUCCCAAACCAUUGUGAACGUAUCCGUCAGUGUUGCUUCGGCGGGCGUCCCCGGGGAGGGGACGCAGCCCAAGGCCCCGAGAGGGGCGGCGGGCGCCCGCCGGAGGUACCAAACCCUUCUGUAUUAUAGUGGCACUUCUGAGUAAACAAGCAAAAUAAGUUA